GAUGAAGAACGUAGCGAAAUGCGAUACGUAAUGUGAAUUGCAGAAUUCAGUGAAUCAUCGAAUCUUUGAACGCAUAUUGCGCUCUCUGGUAUUCCGGAGAGCAUGCUUGUUUGAGUAUCAGUAAACACCUCAACUUCCAUAUCUUUUUUGAAAUGGGAGUUGGACUUGAGUGAUCCCAACGCUUUUCCUCACCGAAAAGUGGCGGGUUACUUGAAAUGCAGGUGCAGCUGGACUUUUCUCUGAGCUAUAAGCAUAUCUAUUUAGUCUGCCUAAAAAACAGAUUAUUACCUUUGCUGCAGCUAACAUAAAGGAGAUUAGUUCUUGUGCUGACUGAUGCAGGAUUCACAAAGACGGCUUCGGCCGACUUUGUAAACUCGAUCUCAAAUCAAGUAAGACUACCCGCUGAACUUAAGCAUAUCAAUAAGCGGAGGA
rnacentral:misc_RNA from 1 species